CAUUUUCAGUAAAGAAGUCCUGAGUAAACACGUUGUCGUUGAAUACCGCUUCUCUGCCGAACCUUAUAUUAGUGCCUCAUGCAGUAAUGUCUCAGUUUUAUCUCAGUAAUGCCUGCGGGCUAAGAAAACACUCUAAGGAAUUUUGCAAAUGGCAAAGAUUAAAGGUCAAGUUAAGUGGUUCAACGAGUCUAAAGGUUUUGGUUUCAUUACUCCUGCUGACGGCAGCAAAGACGUGUUCGUACACUUCUCUGCAAUCCAGGGUAACGGCUUCAAAACUCUGGCUGAAGGCCAGAACGUUGAGUUCGAAAUUCAGGACGGCCAGAAAGGCCCAGCUGCAGUUAACGUAACUGCUAU
rnacentral:sRNA from 1 species